UACGAAGGGGGCUAGCGUUGCUCGGAAUUACUGGGCGUAAAGGGAGCGUAGGCGGACAUUUAAGUCAGGGGUGAAAUCCCGGGGCUCAACCUCGGAAUUGCCUUUGAUACUGGGUGUCUUGAGUAUGAGAGAGGUAUGUGGAACUCCGAGUGUGGAGGUGAAAUUCGUAGAUAUUCGGAAGAACACCAGUGGCGAAGGCGACAUACUGGCUCAUUACUGACGCUGAGGCUCGAAAGCGUGGGGAGCAAACAGG
rnacentral:rRNA from 1 species